rnacentral:rRNA from 1 species
GAUGAACGCUGGCGGCGUGCCUAAUACAUGCAAGUCGAGCGAAUGGAUUAAGAGCUUGCUCUUAUGAAGUUAGCGGCGGACGGGUGAGUAACACGUGGGUAACCUGCCCAUAAGACUGGGAUAACUCCGGGAAACCGGGGCUAAUACCGGAUAACAUUUUGAACUGCAUGGUUCAAAAUUGAAAGGCGGCUUCGGCUGUCACUUAUGGAUGGACCCGCGUCGCAUUAGCUAGUUGGUGAGGUAACGGCUCACCAAGGCAACGAUGCGUAGCCGACCUGAGAGGGUGAUCGGCCACACUGGGACUGAGACACGGCCCAGACUCCUACGGGAGGCAGCAGUAGGGAAUCCUCCGCAAUGGACGAAAGUCUGACGGAGCAACGCCGCGUGAGUGAUGAAGGCUUUCGGGUCGUAAAACUCUGUUGUUAGGGAAGAACAAGUGCUAGUUGAAUAAGCUGGCACCUUGACGGUACCUAACCAGAAAGCCACGGCUAACUACGUGCCAGCCGCCGCGGUAA